rnacentral:lncRNA from 10 species
GAGACGGAGUCUCGCUCUGUCGCCCAGGCUGGAGUGCAGUGGUGUGACCUCAGCUCACUGCAACCUCCACCUCCUGGGUUCAAGCGAUUCUCCUGCCUCAGCAUCCCGAGUACAGGCACUACAGGCACAUGAACAAGAGAAGCUGACAGAUUCAAAUGUUCACAAACAUUUCUGUUCCAUUUUGAUAGAUACAUAAACUAUAUUUCUCAUUCUUAUAUACUUUAUAUUAGGGCAUGAGAUUAAAGUCAAAAUAGUGGAAAAUUAGUAGAAAUAACAUAUUUUAUAUCCAAUUUAGUCUCCAAAAUCCCAACAUGUACUCUUCUAUAUACAUUUUUCAGUAUGCUUGACUGGAAUGGCCAAUUCUACAGUAGUCUUGGAAGCAACAUACUGCAGAUUAAAUACCUUAGUAGCCUAUGUUCUUGAAUGUGGACAUAAAGGAGCAAUGCUUUUCCUAUCUUAAAAAAAACAGUUUAUAUGAAUGAAACUUCUGUUCUGUUUAAGAUAUUAUAUGUUGUUGAGUGUAGUUGUCAAAGCAACUAGCACUAUUCCAAGUAAUAUAGAAAUCAUCAGCUUGAGUUGGGUCUGCCAUAACAGCACCUAAAACAUAUCCACUAAAUUAGUAUUAAAUGGACAAGUAAACCAAACUCAGAGGGUUGAAAUGAAGACUUGUAAUACCCAGUGAAAAAAAAUUAUUGAAACUACCAUCUAAAAUUAAUUGGAAGCUUAAUAUUAACUCAAGGAAAGAGUGUGGGAAAUGAGGAAAGGCAAAAGGUAAUGUGUUCAUGUUUGUUCUGUUCCAUAAUCUAAGAAAUAGAUAAACACAGGCAAAAAAAAAAAAAA